UGUUCAUGUCUCUUGAGUUUCUGGGUAAUCAAAGUUUCAGAUGUGAAAUGAGUGGUCUUUCUGAAGGCUAUAUCUCAAUUGGGUUUUCCAGUGAUACUUUAAUGGGGAAUGAUGAUGUUUAUAUAUGCUUGCUGAAUGACAAUGGAGAAGUGGGAGUACAGUAUGGCUACAAUACUGGCCGAAGACCUCCAACUAUUAACCCCCUGGGUGAAGUGAGAGAUAUAGAGACAUCUUUCACCAAUGGGGUCAUCAAAUGCCGUUUCAUCACCAGCAAUCCCAUAUCAAUUGGACAAAGUAAUUCUGAUUACCUCUAUUAUAUUUUUCUGGCUUUGGGACCAUCUCAGAAUGGAACUAUCCGGAAACAUACCACGACUCCUUUAGUAACAACUCAGAAAGAAGAUAUUUCCAAACCAAUAGAUGUAAGCGGAACCUUCUCAUCUGUACCAAUUAUUAUUAAAUUUCAUGGUUCUAUCAUGCUUAUCGCCUGGAUGGUAAUAGGAAAUGUAGGCAUGGUCUUUGCACGUUUCUGGAAAAAUGUGAUGGUAAAACAAGUUCUUGGCAAAGACCUCUGGUUUCAGGCCCACAGAUCUCUGAUGACACUGACAGUGGUAUGUGUCAUGAUUGCCUUUAUACUGCCCUUUAUACAUGUCAAAGGAUGGAGUGGCAAUUGGCCGCAUCCUAUUUUGGGUUGUGUUGUGAUGGUUCUGGCUCUCCUUCAACCAGUGAUUGCUCUCUUUCGACCUUCACCUCAACAUAAAAGGAGAAUUAUCUUUAAUUGGUUCCAUGCCGUAACUGCUUUUGCAUUAAGGAUUUUAUCAGAUGUUGCUCUGUUGCUGGGCUUCAAGAUCAUUGAUAAAUCUCCCGAUAUAUGGAUGGAAAAAGUGAUGGGAGGCUUAGUCGGCUGGGGACUAUUAAGAGAUGUGAUAUUUCAUGCAAAUGCUUAUUUUUUGAGGAAAGAUGGUGAUGAAAAUCCAAAAAGAAAGUGCCUGCUCCAAACUUUCUCAUUUGUUAAGCUAACUUGAGAUGUAGCUCUGAAAACUUUACAAUCAACUUUCUAAACAAUGAUUCUCUUAGAUUUAGGAAUCAAGGAAUUUGCCUCUCUCCAAAAAAGAACAGAAGCAAAAGAUGGCAGUGGAAGAAUACAACGUUUGAAAUAAAUGAUGGGUCUUUCCAAAUUCUAGUUGCCAUAUUAUAAGAUACCCAUUUGACAAGCUUGGCAAAAACCAAUAUGGUCUCUCCUAGGAAACCAUCCCUCUGAAUUUCACUAGGAGAGGCUCUUUUUACCUGGAAUUCUAUUAACUGGCAUCUCCACUAAACCCCAUUUAUGAACUUCUACUAUAUGAUUUGUUAUAAAAAAUA